UACGGGAGGCAGCAGUGGGGAAUAUUGCACAAUGGGCGCAAGCCUGAUGCAGCCAUGCCGCGUGUAUGAAAAAGGCCUUCGGGUUGUAAAGUACUUUCAGUCGUGAGGAAGGUGUUAAGGUUAAUAACCUUAGCAAUUGACGUUAGCGACAGAAGAAGCACCGGCUAACUCCGUGCCAGCAGCCGCGGUAAUACGGAGGGUGCGAGCGUUAAUCGGAAUUACUGGGCGUAAAGGGCACGCAGGCGGUUAAUUAAGUUGGAUGUGAAAUCCCCGGGCUUAACCUGGGAAUGGCAUUCAAGACUGGUUAGCUAGAGUCUUGUAGAGGGGGUAGAAUUCCAUGUGUAGCGGUGAAAUGCGUAGAGAUGUGGAGGAAUACCGGUGGCGAAGGGCGGCCCCUGGACAAAGACUGACGCUCAUGUGCGAAAGCGUGGGGAGCAAACAGGGAUUAGAUACC
rnacentral:rRNA from 1 species